UACGAAGGGGGCUAGCGUUGCUCGGAAUCACUGGGCGUAAAGCGCACGUAGGCGGCUUUCUAAGUCAGGGGUGAAAUCCUGGAGCUCAACUCCAGAACUGCCUUUGAUACUGGAGAGCUUGAGUCCGGGAGAGGAGAGUGGAAUUCCCGGUGUAGCGGUGAAAUGCGCAGAUAUCAGGAAGAACACCAACGGCGAAGGCAGCUCGCUGGGACGGUACUGACGCUGAGACGCGAAAGCGUGGGGAGCGAACAGG
rnacentral:rRNA from 1 species